AUUGAACGCUGGCGGCAGGCCUAACACAUGCAAGUCGAGCGGAGCGGCGUACGGGUGAGUAAUGCCUAGGAAUCUGCCUGGUAGUGGGGGAUAACUUCCGGAAACGGGCGCUAAUACCGCAUACUAUCAGAUGAGCCUAGGGCGGAUUAGCUAGGUGGUGGGGUAAAGGCUUACCAAGGCGACGAUCCGUCACUGGUCUGAGAGGAUGAUCAGUCACAAGGGAACUGAGACACGGUCCAGACUCCUACGUGAGGCAGCAGUGGGGAAUAUUGGACAAUGGGAGAAAGCCGGAUCCAGCCAUGCCGCGUGUGUGAAGAAGGUCUUCGGAGUGGAAAGCACUUUAAGUCGGGAGGCGUUACCAACAGAAUAAGCACCGGCUAACUUCGUGCCAGCAGCCGCGGUAAUUC
rnacentral:rRNA from 1 species